rnacentral:rRNA from 1 species
CCUGGCGGCGACAGCGCGGUGGUCCCACCUGACCCCAUGCCGAACUCAGAAGUGAAACGCCGUAGCGCC